GCGAAAGCCUGACGCAGCGACGCCGCGUGCGGGACGAAGGCCUUCGGGUCGUAAACCGCUUUCAGCAGGGACGAGGGGGCAACCUGACGGUACCUGCAGAAGAAGCCCCGGCUAACUACGUG
rnacentral:rRNA from 1 species